CCCCUGUGUUCUAUAUUAAGCGAUGUCAGCCAUGUUGGUUAGUAGGCAGGGUUAUCUGUUCAUUUUUUUAACGAGAUGCCUUAAUGAUGAUUGUUAUUAAACUUUAUUCGACAAUUGAAACAUAUCCGUCGACAUCUGUGACUUAUAUCUAUAGUUACUUAUGAUAAUAACGAGUCGUGUCCUACUACAAAUGGCAACUCCUACUGGAUUAGUCGAUGUUUUACCAGGACGAAAACAUA
rnacentral:lncRNA from 1 species